rnacentral:rRNA from 1 species
AACGAACGCUGGCGGCAGGCUUAACACAUGCAAGUCGAACGCAUCCUUCGGGGUGAGUGGCAGACGGGUGAGUAACGCGUGGGAACGUGCCCUUCAGUUCGGGAUAACCCAGGGAAACUUGGGCUAAUACCGGAUACGUGCGAGAGCAGAAAGAUUUAUCGCUGAAGGAUCGGCCCGCGGCUGAUUAGCUAGUUGGUGGGGUAAUGGCCCACCAAGGCGACGAUCAGUAGCUGGUCUGAGAGGAUGAUCAGCCACAUUGGGACUGAGACACGGCCCAAACUCCUACGGGAGGCAGCAGUGGGGAAUAUUGGACAAUGGGCGCAAGCCUGAUCCAGCCAUGCCGCGUGAGUGAUGAAGGCCUUAGGGUUGUAAAGCUCUUUCGUCCGGUACGAUAAUGACGGUACCGGAAGAAGAAGCCCCGGCUAACUUCGUGCCAGCAGCCGCCGUAA